CCAGUAAGUCAUCUAGGAGGGGCCCAUGCCAGGCAGCAGCCUGCUUUUGUUCUUUGCUUUGUACUCAGAAGGGAGGGACAUUGCUGAGAAUCAAUGCAGCAAUGGCUGGAGGAUUGGAGACAACACCUUGGAGGGGUGAUAUCACACACCUGUCAGCUUUCCCUGGAACUCCUGCAGUGAUCAGCUCCAAGGAGGAACGGGAAUUUCUCCCUGAGGACAGCAGAAGGAUCCAGCUCCAGCUACCCUGGAACAAUGCAGGGUCCUGCUACUGAAUAUAGAAGGCCCAAAUAACUAAGCACAAGACAAAAUAAACCUGUGAGGGCAAUCA
rnacentral:lncRNA from 1 species